GGCUAGUCGAAGGUAGUGAACUUAUCUCAAUUGACUGUUCAUAGUCCUUACAGAAUGGAACUCCUUAUUCUAACUCUUCCCUUUUCUCACUACUGGCAUUGAUAGUCUUCA
rnacentral:Y_RNA from 1 species